ensembl:lncRNA
CAAGCACUUUUAUACUUUUACUCAAGUCGAUGUACGUAGUACUUCGUCCACCACUGCUUAUGCUUACACUAUCGCAUUUGAAAAAUGCCAAUUAUGCAAUUCUUUUGGAUAAUUGAGGCCACGGUCGGUAAGGGACGAUGCUUGCUUUGCAAGAAAAUGCCUAUUUACAGGGUUGAGCGUCCAUUUUAUGAUUUGUUGAUUUGGUACUAUUGUUAUGAGACAAAAUGUCGAGAGUGGCAUUAUAUUGAAUCGUAGCUGCUUAUUUGUGCCCAUCGUAGGCAGAAAGUGGCACACAGCGAGUGCUUCUAUUUAUUAACGCUCACACACUUUUUUUUUAUCUCUGAAGAGGGUAUUUUUCAUGUCACUGUGAUUGCGGUGCUGUCAUUCAUUCAAUUCCUUGUUUUCUUCCCUGUAGCUUAUUAUUUGCCUCUUUUUCUCUCACUCACUCAUUCUGCCUAUGUUUGUAUCCACCUUAAGCACUUUUAUUGUCAUUUUCGUUUCGCCCAAUCCCUUCAUAGAACUUCAACAGCGUUUCCACAUCUCCUCUGCGCUAGUUUUCUGCCCCUCCAUCCAGGCUCUCCAUUGAUGGAUAAUGGUAGUGGUGUAGGUGGUGCUGGUGCUGGAUGCUAACCACACAUAACAUGUGUUGUGUUUCUGUGGUUGAGGUACUGAGAGGGAUGAGAAGAGAGAACUAGAAACCGAUUCAGGUAAUCUCCCUCCGACAACAUUGGAGAGAAAAGGAAAGCAAAAGAGCUGCCACCAUUUUGCUUCAGAAUUUUAAACAAUAAAUAAAAAAACAUUUCGCAAUCGACAGUGUGUUGAAUCCUCAAAGCUGUGCUGAUGAUUCUCAUCUUGUUCAAUCUGGUUGUUUACAAACACACACACACACACACACACACACACAUGGUGCACAUAAACAAACAAACAAUUAAAUCUGGUGAGUUAGACAAGCAAAGACAGUUAUGGGCCAAAGCGUAGCUCCACAUUGGAUUUUUAUUAUUGAGAAGAC